rnacentral:rRNA from 1 species
GGGUUGUGAGGUUAAGCGACUAAGCGUACACGGUGGAUGCCCUGGCAGUCAGAGGCGAUGAAGGGCGUGCUAAUCUGCGAUAAGCGCCGGUAAGGUGAUAUGAACCGUUAUAACCGGCGAUACCCGAAUGGGGAAACCCAGUGUGACUCGUCACACUAUCAUUAACUGAAUCCAUAGGUUAAUGAGGCGAACCGGGGGAACUGAAACAUCUAAGUACCCCGAGGAAAAGAAAUCAACCGAGAUUCCCCCAGUAGCGGCGAGCGAACGGGGAGGAGCCCAGAGCCUGAAUCAGCAUGUGUGUUAGUGGAAGCGUCUGGAAAGGCGCGCGAUACAGGGUGACAGCCCCGUACACAAAAGCGCAUGUGCUGUGAGCUCGAUGAGUAGGGCGGGACACGUGGUAUCCUGUCUGAAUAUGGGGGGACCAUCCUCCAAGGCUAAAUACUCCUGACUGACCGAUAGUGAACCAGUACCGUGAGGGAAAGGCGAAAAGAACCCCGGCGAGGGGAGUGAAAAAGAACCUGAAACCGUGUACGUACAAGCAGUGGGAGCCCCACCACCAAAGCAUUCUCUGGUGUUGAAGGCCCUGCAAAGCAGCAUCGCGGUGGCGGAGCGUCGUUUGCGACGCCCAACACACAAAACAAGCGGUGAGUGCUUUGGGGUGGGGUGACUGCGUACCUUUUGUAUAAUGGGUCAGCGACUUAUAUUCUGUAGCAAGGUUAACCGUAUAGGGGAGCCGUAGGGAAACCGAGUCUUAACCGGGCGUUAAGUUGCAGGGUAUAGACCCGAAACCCGGUGAUCUAGCCAUGGGCAGGUUGAAGGUUGGGUAACACUAACUGGAGGACCGAACCGACUAAUGUUGAAAAAUUAGCGGAUGACUUGUGGCUGGGGGUGAAAGGCCAAUCAAACCGGGAGAUAGCUGGUUCUCCCCGAAAGCUAUUUAGGUAGCGCCUCGUGAAUUCAUCUUCGGGGGUAGAGCACUGUUUCGGCUAGGGGGUCAUCCCGACUUACCAACCCGAUGCAAACUGCGAAUACCGGAGAAUGUUAUCACGGGAGACACACGGCGGGUGCUAACGUCCGUCGUGAAGAGGGAAACAACCCAGACCGCCAGCUAAGGUCCCAAAGUCAUGGUUAAGUGGGAAACGAUGUGGGAAGGCCCAGACAGCCAGGAUGUUGGCUUAGAAGCAGCCAUCAUUUAAAGAAAGCGUAAUAGCUCACUGGUCGAGUCGGCCUGCGCGGAAGAUGUAACGGGGCUAAAC